rnacentral:rRNA from 1 species
UACGUAGGGUGCAAGCGUUAUCCGGAAUUAUUGGGCGUAAAGAGCUCGUAGGCGGUUUGUCGCGUCUGCUGUGAAAACUGGGGGCUCAACCUCCAGCCUGCAGUGGGUACGGGCAGACUAGAGUGCGGUAGGGGAGACUGGAAUUCCUGGUGUAGCGGUGGAAUGCGCAGAUAUCAGGAGGAACACCGAUGGCGAAGGCAGGUCUCUGGGCACUUACUGACGCUGAGGAGCGAAAGCGUGGGGAGCGAACAGG